GGGCCGCUAGCUCAAUCAGGCAGAGCAACUGACUCUUAAUCAGUAGGUUGCAGGUUCGAUUCCUGCGCGGCUCACCA
rnacentral:tRNA from 1 species